rnacentral:rRNA from 1 species
GGGACCUUCGGGCCUUGCGCUAUCAGAUGAGCCUAGGUCGGAUUAGCUAGUUGGUGAGGUAAUGGCUCACCAAGGCGACGAUCCGUAACUGGUCUGAGAGGAUGAUCAGUCACACUGGAACUGAGACACGGUCCAGACUCCUACGGGAGGCAGCAGUGGGGAAUAUUGGACAAUGGGCGAAAGCCUGAUCCAGCCAUGCCGCGUGUGUGAAGAAGGUCUUCGGAUUGUAAAGCACUUUAAGUUGGGAGGAAGGGCAUUUACCUAAUACGUUAGU